GUGAAUCAUCAAAUUUUUGAACGCAAAUUGCACUCUCCUCAGAGAGUAUGCCUGUUUGAGGGUCAGCCUAAAAAAAAAUCGACAUCGUUUCUGUUUCGCGGUGAUGUUCGUCGGUAAUUGGGUUAUCUUAUACUUUUUGGUUUAAGCGACUUAAAAUUAUCCUUUUGAUUACAUGAACGUUUCUAAGAUUUAUUUCUUUAUACGUUUAAGGUAUCGAUUUGUAUUAGACGUGGCCGUCAUAUCUGAUCGCGUCCAUAAUUUUUCUCUAACUGACCUAAGACAGGUAAGAGUACCCGCUGAA
rnacentral:misc_RNA from 1 species